CCUACGUGAGACAGCAGUGAGGAAUAUUGGUCAAUGGCCGUAAGGCUGAACCAGCCAAGUAGCGUGAGGGAAGACUGCCCUAUGGGUUGUAAACCUCUUUUAUGCGGGGAUAAAGGUGGCCACGUGUGGAUGUUUGCAGGUACCGCAUGAAUAAGGACCGGCUAAGUCCGUGCCAGCAGCCGCGGUAAUACGGGAGGUCCGGGCGUUAUCCGGAUUUAUUGGGUUUAAAGGGAGCGUCGGCCGUUCUUUAAGCGUGCCGUGAAAUUUUGUGGCUCAACCAUGAGAGUGCGGCGCGAACUGGCGACCUUGCGUGCGCGUCAGGCAGGCGGCAUUCGUGGUGUAGCGGUGCAAUGCUUAGAUAUCACG
rnacentral:rRNA from 1 species